UGAGGAAUAUUGCACAAUGGGCGCAAGCCUGAUGCAGCGACGCCGCGUGGGUGAUGAAGGUCUUCGGAUCGUAAAGCCCUUUUCUGCGUGACGAGACAGGACGGUAGCGCAGGAAUAAGUCUCGGCUAACUACGUGCCAGCAGCCGCGGUAAAACGUAGGAGACGAACGUUAUCCGGAGUUACUGGGCGUAAAGGGCGUGUAGGCGGUUUGUUAAGUCUGGCGUGAAAGCUCUCGGCUAAACCGGGAGAGGUCGUUGGAUACUGGCGAACUAGAGGAUGGUAGAGGCGUGUGGAAUUCCGGGUGUAGUGGUGAAAUGCGUAGAGAUCCGGAGGAACACCAGUGGCGAAGGCGACACGCUGGGCCAUACCUGACGCUAAAGCGCGACAGCAUGGGGAGCAAACGGGAUUAGAUACCCCUGUAGUCCCUGAGCGGGCUGGCAAGGCGCAU
rnacentral:rRNA from 1 species